rnacentral:rRNA from 1 species
UGGGGAAUAUUGCACAAUGGGCGAAAGCCUGAUGCAGCGACGCCGCGUGAGGGAUGACGGCCUUCGGGUUGUAAACCUCUUUCAGCAGGGACGAAGCGAAAGUGACGGUACCUGCAGAAGAAGCACCGGCCAACUACGUGCCAGCAGCCGCGGUAAUACGUAGGGUGCAAGCGUUGUCCGGAAUUAUUGGGCGUAAAGAGCUCGUAGGCGGCUAGUCACGUCGGCUGUGAAAACCUGAGGCUCAACCUCGGGCUUGCAGCCGAUACGGGCUAGCUAGAAUUCGGUAGGGGUGAUUGGAAUUCCUGGUGUAGCGGUGAAAUGCGCAGAUAUCAGGAGGAACACCGGUGGCGAAGGCGGGUCUCUGGGCCGAUAUUGACGCUGAGGAGCGAAAGCGUGGGGAGCAAGCA